rnacentral:lncRNA from 1 species
CUACGCCACUGGACAGAAGAGAAAACACGCUGCAUGAUUCCUUCUUUGUUAAUGCCAUCGGAAACUGGGCAUUCCGAGUCACUCUUUUCAGCAGAGUGUGAGCAGCGUAAAUACGCGGAAUCGAGACUGCCGGACUAACGUCGGAAGCCGAGGUAGGCUGGGGAACACUGUUUGCGGGUCUCGCCGCAAUGCCGCAAUGCCACAAUGCCACAAUGCCACAGUCGUUGGCUCUUUUGGCAGCAGCUUCAUUCUGCUUCCGUAGAGAUGAAUCAGGGAUUCGGUAGAGCACCUCCAAAAGGUCGUCUGCACUCCCUUGCUGAACUGCCGUCCUGUACUGUGGGGACCCAUCGGGUUAAACCAUUUAACCAAAUCAAUGCGGGUUUCAAUUGGCGGUUAAUCUUGACUUUCGGUUUGUUCGCCGUUGAUGCGCUAGUGUUUGUUCACAACUCGGCAACGCUCAGUGCGACAAUGCCACGCGGAGCAUCGAUUUAGCUGCAUCAAGACUAGCGGCCCUCAGUGCCACCGACAAACUUGUGGACAUCGUAUUGCUUAAAACAGCGAAUCAAACGAGGACCAAUCGCGGGAGCGAUUUCUUCUCCGCCCGUCCACUCACUUGAGGAGUAAAGAACUAGGUUUUUUCGGAACCUUUUGGCUGGCACGGGAACUACUCACGACACUCGUACGCACAGCCCUGCGCACGCCCUUUACAAGUUUCCUGUUUUUCAUCGCUUUUCUCACAAACCGCGUUUGCACUGGAAAAUAAUUCGCCUUCCGUUUUUGCACGUAGAGGCACUGUGGGGGGAAAACACUCAUUUAACA